rnacentral:misc_RNA from 1 species
GAUGAAGAACGCAGCGAAAUGCGAUAAGUAAUGCGAAUUGCAGAAUUCAGUGAGUCAUCGAAUCUUUGAACGCACAUUGCGCCCGCCAGUAUUCUGGCGGGCAUGCCUGUUCGAGCGUCAUUUCAACCAUCAAGCCCCAGGCUUGUGUUGGAGCCCUGCGGCUGCCGCAGCCUCCCAAAACCAGUGGCGGGCUCGCUAUCACACCGAGUGCAGUAGUUUACUCUUCGCUCAGGGCGUGUGGCGGGUGCUAGCCGUGAAACCCCCAACUUCUCAAGGUUGACCUCGGAUCAGGUAGGAAUACCCGCUGAACUUAAGCAUAUCAAUAAGCGGAGGA